UUGGAAGUAUAAAGAUUAAGACAUUUACACCAGGAGGGGGAGCAGCGUCAACAGGAACUGCAAGAACUCGAAUAACAAUGAGCUGUGGCUCAUGCAAGGCGAGGAGUCCGCACCUAGUGUUCCUACACGCGCCACAAACUGUGCUCUGUUUUGCCAGGGAGAUACUGCUGGCGGUGGCGCCUCAGACUACAGGGCUGAACAGGACUCAGCCACAGGAACAGCGCUAACCGGGUUGGCUACUGGUUGGACAGGUGAAGGAAGGCAUUACCGGUAUGAUAUGCAAUAAAAGCGGAGAUUGCAGAAGGGACCCCAACAUUUCUGGGAGCCUGUCCUCCAUCAUAUUUUAGGCAGGAGAAGCAGACAGCAGGAAUAGUUGAACCCGACGACGGGAAAAGGCAGUCUAGAUGUAAUUCAAGAGUCGCCAGCAUGGACGGUUCUAUUACCUCAGCGGGGACAUUAGCACAGGGGCAAGGGACCGAGGUGGCCGGGGCAACAACUACUGCCACUGUGAAAAAGGACCCCCGAGUUUCCUUCUCAAAUGCCCCUAGUAGAAAAGCAUCGUCCUCUGUGCAGAACCAACAGAAGAUGAAUUCUGUCUCAUGUUUUAAAUCUGAGGAUAUUUCCCAGGUUGUGACAGAUGAAUGGGAACCAAAUGACAAUCGAACAUACAUGCAGCGGCAAUUUAGUUCCAUGCUUCAGCCUGGAGUUAAUAAAUUUUCACUGCGUAUGUUUGGGAGCCAAAAAGCUGUUGAAAAGGAACAACAGCGCGUCAAAUCGGCCGGUAAUUGGAUUAUUCAUCCAUACAGCGAUUUCAGUCCAAAAGGAGUGCAGCCCUUGUGCCAUCUGGUGCAUGGACAUCCUUUGCCAGUGUGAUCCGAGUGCAAGUGUCAAGUUGUAGAGACUACAACAGAUCGAGCCUGUGGACGGACAGACAUGUGGAGUGACAUGCGAAACACCAGGCUCACCCCAAGAGAAGCAGUGCAUAAUCAACGCCAUCCUCAGCAAGGAGAUAUGCUGGAAAUUAGUUACUCUCUCUAACUCUGGGGGUAUAGGCAGGGAUGACUGGGACCUUCAGCUAGUAAGACACAGGGAGCAAGACAUUAUUUGAACAUCACAGAUAUAAAUUACCACUGUGCCCAUGAUCAAAUUAACUACAUUACUUUAGUUGGCUGCUUUGAACAAAACUUGUAUGUAAUAUAACUAUCAUUUUUCAGGUAUGAGCCAGAUGCAGACAGUGUCGAAGAAUCAAUAGUUUAUUUCUAGUACAGGGGCAGGCAAACAACAGGUCAAAGGGAGGCAGAGGUCAGUAAUCCAGAGAGGGUGCAAAAGGUCCAGAACGGCAGGCAGUCUCAGGGUUUGGGCAGGGGUGUCUCCAGACCAGUGAGGUGGGGCAAGGUAUAGAACGGCAGGCAGGCUCAGUGUCAGGGCAGGCAGAAUGGUCAACACCUUGAAGGACUAGAAAACAGGAGCAAGAACAAACAGGAGCAGGGGAACAAACACUGGUAGGUUUCACGAAACAAAAUGAACUGGCAACAGACAAACAGAGAACACAGUGAUAAAUACACAGGGGAUAAUGGGGAAGAUGGGUGACACCCGGAGGUUGGUGGAGACAAGCACAAAGACAGCUGAAACAGAUCAGGGUGUGACAAUUACCUAUUCUGGGAGCCUAGUGUGUCUGUAUGAACUAUGUGGAAUAAUUUUGGACCAUUGGCUUCCCUGAAAACAGUUGCUGACAAGCGGAGCAAUAGGAGUCUGUCAGACGUUGUCAUGCUGGAUGGGGAUGGUGAUGGAGGCUUUGGUGGUUCACACAACGAAGAAGCUGAUAUCCCUUCCAAUGAUGUGGAGUUGACGUUGGACCUGGUGCCAGGAAGGAUUGUCUUCACAGAGGCAGUAAAACCCUCCUUCCUUCAUAUAGGAAUCCUUAAACUUCACUGUCUCUUCAAUAGUAAGGUCCCUUGCACCAUAGGGACACUUGACCUCCAACACAGCUGUGGUGCCCACCCAGAAUCCCAGACCCCGUGAACAAAAGCCCUCCUGCACAUCCAUCCCUGUAGCCAUUUUAAAUGCCUUGAUGCCCUCCUCUUUGUUACCUGUGCCCCACUUUACAGACACCCAUCCAACGACUGUGAUCUGAGGACCCUUUUUUAGCAGUGAUGGAGUAACACGCUUGGCCCUAACCACUGCUCCAUAAUUUAUGGCUGUCAACCUCCAUCUUCUCAUGGUGUGUCAGUUGGGGUUGGUGCAAUGUCGAACUGUUACCUGCCAUAUAGCUUUCGGCUGCUCCACCAACAGCGCCAUGCCAACCAGGAUGCCGGUUUGCCCGAGGUGCCCUUUUUAAAUUUUAUUUUAUUUUUUACAAUUUCCAGUACAGACAGGAAUGACAGGGAGGGUAGCAGUUGUUAUGGCUCAGGUUCAGGGAGACAUGCCAUUCCACUGAACCUGCCCCAGAGAUGGUUCCUUAGCUACUGAAGAUCCUCCUCUGUGGGCUCUCUGGACAGAGGGUUGUUGUCUUCAGCCAGGUACAGGUCCUCCACUGACUGCACCUCGUUGGGCACGGCUGGCUUCCUCCAUUAGCAUUCCACAUCCGUACGGCUGAAAUUGUGACCCACCAAAAUAGGCUGCAUGGCUACCUGUAUGAGCUCCACGGAGGCAUAGAGGGAAUCACCUGGUCACCUACAGAGACCUGCCAAGAUGGAAGAUGUUAAGUGCCACAUGCCUUUCAAUACAUUCAUUUGAACAUCUUGAAAUACAUUUGUUGUAAAAAAUGUGCUGUAUAAAUAAAGUUUGAUUUGAAUGAUGACAUAUUCUGGUUAAUGAUAAUUGAUUAAGUGUAUCUUUCUUUGUAGAAUGUUGACAGCUGUAUAGAACACAUUGUAUUGCUAAGAUUCUCAAACUUAACUUGAUAGCUACACUCCGAUACAGGAUAAACUUUAUCUCUCAUAUUGGCCCUGACCAAACCAAUAAGUUGCCCCUCACUAUAGCUGUACUUCUACACAUGGUAUCAAGGUAUCAACUGUCCCAGAUGCAGACAGUUGUGAGGUAACAAAAGUUUAUAACAAAAACGGGGGCAGGCAAACGACAGGUCAAUGGCAGGCAGUGGUCAACAAUCCAGAUCAGAGUCCGAAACAGGAGACAAAGGGCUGUGAGACAUAGUUUUAAUCCUAGACACAUGAAAAGUGGGAUGUAUACGGAGGGUACGGGGCAACAGAAGAUGAACAGCAGAAGGGGCUAAUCAUUGUGAGGAUGGGGAAAGGGCCAGUACAAUGGGGGGAAAGUUUGCAGGACUCCACCCGGAGGGGCAGAUCUCAA